GACGAACGCUGGCGGCGUGCUUAACACAUGCAAGUCGAGCGGUGAACCCUUCGGGGGGAUCAGCGGCGAACGGGUGAGUAACACGUGAGCAACCUGCCCCUGACUCUGGGAUAGCCUCGGGAAACCGGGAUUAAUACCGGAUAUGACAUCGCCUCGCAUGGGGUGGUGUGGAAGGUUUUUCGGCCAGGGAUGGGCUCGCGGCCUAUCAGCUUGUGGGUGGGGUGAUGGCCUACCAAGGCGACGACGGGUAGCCGGCCUGAGAGGGUGACCGGCCACACUGGGACUGAGACACGGCCCAGACUCCUACGGGAGGCAGCAGUGGGGAAUAUUGCGCAAUGGGCGAAAGCCUGACGCAGCGACGCCGCGUGAGGGAUGAAGGCCUUCGGGUUGUAAACCUCUUUCAGCAGGGAAGAAGCGCAAGUGACGGUACCUGCAGAAGAAGCACCGGCUAACUACGUGCCAGCAGCCGCCGUAA
rnacentral:rRNA from 1 species